AUUGAACGCUGGCGGCAUGCCUUACACAUGCAAGUCGAACGGCAGCACGGGGCAACCUGGUGGCGAGUGGCGAACGGGUGAGUAAUGCAUCGGAACGUACCUUUCAGUGGGGGAUAACGUAGCGAAAGUUACGCUAAUACCGCAUAUUCUGUGAGCAGGAAAGCAGGGGAUCGCAAGACCUUGCGCUGAUUGAGCGGCCGAUGUCAGAUUAGCUAGUUGGUGAGGUAAAGGCUCACCAAGGCGACGAUCUGUAGCGGGUCUGAGAGGAUGAUCCGCCACACUGGAACUGAGACACGGUCCAGACUCCUACGGGAGGCAGCAGUGGGGAACUUUGGACAAUGGGGGCAACCCUGAUCCAGCCAUGCCGCGUGAGUGAAGUAGGCCUUCGGGUUGUAAAGCUCUUUCGGCCGGGAAGAAAUCGCACGGGCUAAUACCCUGUGUGGAUGACGGUACCGGAAUAAGAAGCACCGGCUAACUACGUGCCAGCCGCCGCGGUAAAAC
rnacentral:rRNA from 1 species